rnacentral:rRNA from 1 species
UACGGAGGGUGCAAGCGUUAUCCGGAUUUACUGGGUUUAAAGGGUGUGUAGGCGGACUUUUAAGUCAGCGGUGAAAUCUCCAGGCUCAACCUGGAAACUGCCAUUGAUACUAUUAGUCUUGAAUUUUGUUGAGGUAGGCGGAAUAAGUCAUGUAGCGGUGAAAUGCUUAGAUAUGACAUAGAACACCAAUUGCGAAGGCAGCUCACUACACGGUUAUUGACACUGAGGCACGAAAGCGUGG